rnacentral:rRNA from 1 species
GGAGCUUGCUCUUCUGGAUGAGUUGCGAACGGGUGAGUAACGCGUAGGUAACCUGCCUCUUAGCGGGGGAUAACUAUUGGAAACGAUAGCUAAUACCGCAUAAAAGUCGACAUUGCAUGAUGUUGACUUGAAAGGUGCAACUGCAUCACUAAGAGAUGGACCUGCGUUGUAUUAGCUAGUUGGUGAGGUAACGGCUCACCAAGGCGACGAUACAUAGCCGACCUGAGAGGGUGAUCGGCCAUACUGGGACUGAGACACGGCCCAGACUCCUACGGGAGGCAGCAGUAGGGAAUCUUCGGCAAUGGACGGAAGUCUGACCGAGCAACGCCGCGUGAGUGAAGAAGGUUUUCGGAUCGUAAAGCUCUGUUGUAAGAGAAGAACGAGUGUGAGAGUGGAAAGUUCACACUGUGACGGUAACUUACCAGAAAGGGACGGCUAACUACGUGCCAGCAACCGCGGUAAUACGUAGGUCCCGAGCGUUAUCCGGAUUUAUUGGGCGUAAAGCGAGCGCAGGCGGUUAGAUAAGUCUGAAGUUAAAGGCUGUGGCUUAACCAUAGUACGCUUUGGAAACUGUUUAACUUGAGUGCAGAAGGGGAGAGUGGAAUUCCAUGUGUAGCGGUGAAAUGCGUAGAUAUAUGGAGGAACACCGGUGGCGAAAGCGGCUCUCU